GGACUACCCGGGUUUCUAAUCCUGUUUGCUCCCCACGCUUUCGCGCCUCAGCGUCAGUCUCGGUCCAGAGCGCCGCCUUCGCCACCGGUGUUCUUCCCAAUAUCUACGAAUUUCACCUCUACACUGGGAAUUCCACGCUCCUCUCCCGAACUCAAGCCCUCCCGUUUCGCGCGCAAUUCCCAGGUUGAGCCCGGGGCUUUCACACGCGACAAGGAGGGCCGCCUACGCGCCCUUUACGCCCAGUAAAUCCGAACAACGCUCGCCCCCUUCGUAUUACCGCGGCUGCUGGCAC
rnacentral:rRNA from 1 species